UACGGGGGGGGGCAAGCGUUGUUCGGAAUUACUGGGCGUAAAGGGCUCGUAGGCGGCCAACUAAGUCAGACGUGAAAUCCCCAGGCUCAACCUGGGAACUGCGUCUGAUACUGGAUGGCUUGAAUUCGGGAGAGGGAUGCAGAAUUCCAGGUGUAGCGGUGAAAUGCGUAGAUAUCUGGAGGAACACCGGUGGCGAAGGCGGCAUCCUGGACCGACACUGACGCUGAGGCGCGAAAGCUAGGGGAGCAAACGGG
rnacentral:rRNA from 1 species